rnacentral:misc_RNA from 1 species
AUAUACACUUUCUAAAUAUAGGUUAUCCUCCAAAACCAUAUGAAAUUCACAUCUUUUACUGAAGAAAAAUAAAUGGAAGUUUACCGUCAGAACCACUUAGAACAGUAAUAAAAUGAAGAAUCUUAGUGUAGAUUUUUAGAAGCUAAAAUGUAUAGCUCCAAGACCUGAUUGGCAAUCUUAAGCAGCUUAACAAAUUCAAAAGACACGUGGGGAAGAACUAGCACUGCCUGUUGUUUAUUCUGAGUGCAGAUCUCUCACUGAGGCAAUAGAUCAAUAUCUAAAAUGGACCAAACUUGUUUGGGAGAAAUUCUAAAAAUGCUACAAUCGACAAAUGGGUUUUUGGUACACGAAGUUCAUUUGGUCAGAACCUUAAUUACCUUUGGCAUUGUAUCACUCAUGUUAGCAUGUAGUGAAAGUUAGACAGUGUACAUUUCAAAUGAUUUUAUCUACAGUAUGCAUAUGGUCAAUUAUGUAAAUCCACUGUGAACUUCCUAUAUUUAAGUACAGAUCUUCCCAGACUUGUUGGGUAAAUUCAUCCAUAAAGGUGUUCAGUGACAAGUGGGAGACUGGAACAGAAACAGAGAAAUCAAAGACUAUACUAUAAAUUUAUGCUACCAUAUUUUGAUUAUCUAGAGUCAAAACACAGAAGAAUUUGCAUUAAAAGAACUCGG